CCCGGAUGCACCUCACACCAAAAAAAUAAUAAUAACCCCAAAACUAAAGGGAGGGAAGGGAGGGUGGCUGCCGUCACUGACGGCUCCUGUGCUACACCCCCCCUCCCCAAACCUCCUACAGUGGAGGUGGCUUAGUCCUAAAUCUCCUACCUGACCAACCCACCCCCACUGCAUACCUUUGCCAGAGGCCAGUCACUGAAGACCCUGGACUGUCCUCCGGGAGCUCUGGACUGUAUGCCGACUCUGGGAGCUCCAGACUGUAGGCCGUCUCACUCGGUUCCGGACUGUAGGCCGUCUCACUCGGUUCCGGACUGUAGGCUGACUCUGGGAGCUCCGGACCAUAGGGCGACUCUCCUGGUUCCGGACAGUGGGCCGUCUCUCCUGGUUCCGGACAGUGGGCCGUCUCUCUUGGUUCCGGACACUCUGGACGAGGCACUGUUUCCGGACACUCUGGACGAGGCACUGUUGCCGGACGUUCUGGACGAGGCACAGUUGCCAGAAGUUCUGGACGAGGCACUGUUGCCAGAUGUUCUGGAUGAGGCACUAUCGUUGGAAGCUCGGGACUGGGCUGAAGCACUGGAAGCCUGAUGUGUGGGGCUGGUAGUGGAAGUACCAGACUGGGGACACGCACGUCAGGGCUAGUGCGGGGAGCAGGAACAGGACAUACUGUACUGGGCUGAUGCACUGGAAGCCUAGUGCGUGUGGCUGGUACUGGAGGUAUCAGACUAGGGACACGCACCCCAAGGCUAGUGCGAGGAGCGGGAACAGGAUGUACUGGACUGGGCUGACGCACUGGAAGCCUAGUGCAUGGUGCUGGCUUAGGAGAUGCCAGACUAGGGACAUGCACCCCAAGGCUAGUGCGAAGACGGGAACAGGACGUACUGGACUGGGCUGACGCACUGGAAGCUUAGUGCGUGGGGCUGGUACUGGAGGUAUCAGACUAGGGACACGCACUACAUGGCUAGUACGAGGAGUGGGAACAGGAUACACUGGGCCGUGAAGCAUUACUGGCGGUCUGGAACAUACAACCCCUACGGCCUGAGUGCUCAUUCAAGCAUGGCACUUGCGAGGGGCUGGAAUCAUUUUCACCGGACUGUGUGUGCGCAUAGGCGAGAUCGUGCGCACUUCCGCAUAGUACGGUGCUCCUCUGAUCCGCUGUUCCCCACAAUAAGAACGGUGGCUUGGCUCCGGUCUACCUGACCUACCCAAUAACCCCGUGUGCCUCCCCCCAAAAAAAUUCUGGGGCUGCCUCUCAGGUUUAAUUGCCAACCACGUACCUAUAUAACUGUUCCUCUUCUCUUCGUUCCACUUUUGACGUUCCUCCCUCGCUGUCUCCACCUGUUUCCAUGGCAGGCGAUCCAUUCCAGCUUGGAUCUCCUCCCAUGUGUAGGAUCCUUUCCCCUCCAAGAUGUCCUCCCAACUCCAGUACUCCUUGUAGUCCAUCUGUUGCUGAUCCCUCCUCCGCUGCUUGGUCCGUGUUUGGUGGGAGAUUCUGUCACGGAUGUCGUAGGGUAGAGACCAAGACGCAGCGGGAAAAUGUACACUCAUCUUCUUUUUAUUGAGGUGAAGAAGGAAAACACAUACAACGUAUACAAAACAAAACGAACUUGACAGUCUUGUAAGGCAAAACAGCUAAACAAGAACAAUCUCCCACCAAAAACCCAUGAAAAACAAACUCCUAAUUAUAGGACCCUCAAUCAGAGGCAACAAUAACCAGCUGCCUCCAAUUGAAGGUCCAACCUCAAUAAACUAAACAGAAAUACAAAAGACUAGAUAGAAAUAUAUUAACAUAGAACAAUGACUAACAAACCCCGGACUAAUAAAUCAAAUACCCCUCUACCUAAACACAUACACAAAACUGUCACGCCCUGACCAGGUGAACUCGGGUAUAUUGGGUCAGGGUGUGUCAUGUUAGGUAUUUUUCAUUGGUUUGUGUUUGGUUUACGUUUUAGCCUUGUGUAGGCUCUAGGUGGGUUAUUUCUAUGUUGGGUUCUGUCGAUUCCCAAUCAGAGACAGCUGUCGCUAAUUGUCUCUGAUUGGGAUCACAUUUAAGUUGCUGUUUUCC
rnacentral:lncRNA from 1 species